rnacentral:rRNA from 1 species
GUGGGGAAUCUUGCGCAAUGGGCGAAAGCCUGACGCAGCCAUGCCGCGUGAAUGAUGAAGGUCUUAGGAUUGUAAAAUUCUUUCACCGGGGACGAUAAUGACGGUACCCGGAGAAGAAGCCCCGGCUAACUUCGUGCCAGCAGCCGCGGUAAUACGAAGGGGGCUAGCGUUGCUCGGAAUUACUGGGCGUAAAGGGCGCGUAGGCGGACAGUUUAGUCAGAGGUGAAAGCCCAGGGCUCAACCUUGGAAUUGCCUUUGAUACUGGCUGUCUUGAGUACGGGAGAGGUGAGUGGAACUCCGAGUGUAGAGGUGAAAUUCGUAGAUAUUCGGAAGAACACCAGUGGCGAAGGCGACUCACUGGCCCGUUACUGACACUGAGGCGCGAAAGCGUGGGGAGCAAACAGGAUUAGAAACCCCGGUAGUCC